AGAAAGUUUCCCGCUACGUUCAUGUAACCAGAUAACGUUGGUUAAGAGACGAACCGGAAACAGAGGUUGGGGUUUGCCAUUUCUCAGGCAACAAACGAGUCAAUAACUUCAUCCUGUGACGUCAAACGUGCCUUCACCGGCAGACGAAGCUGUCCUCCUCGAAACUUCUACGUCAAACCCACGAAAGCUUGUGUCGUUCAGCUGUAGGUGCCAGUGUGGAGCUGCCGGCACAUCAUCCUUCAACCAUCCAGUUUGAACUGGUAAGAACUUGUGAUCCAUUCGCUGGUGUCACAGUUCUGCAUGGUUCGCUCCGUGAAGGUCACGUUACCGUCUGCGUCGACAAGGAUGAUUGUGUUUGUCCUGAUUGGGAAGAAGAGUCGGAACAUUUUCAUACAGUUCAAACAUCUGAUCUGAGACUGCGGUAGAUGAUGAUGAUGAUGAUGAUGAUGAUGAUGAAGACACUGACCUGGUGCCAUAGUCAGGUGAGCGGACGCACAUGGCUGACAGGGCCUGGAUCAUCGUCUUGCUGUACCAGUGACCGUGGCUCUCCUGCUCAGGGUCAGGCGUGUUCCUGUAAAAAAUGACCUGCAGGAGCUGACGUUUCAAUGGCUUUUAAUUAAUAUUAUUUUAAUUUAAAAAGUCUGUCGUCGGCUCUCUGCUACAUUAGUAAAGUCACAGAAGUGAGGGUUUUAAAUAAAGGGUUGGAAAAUGCUGCACUUUGAUUGGACAUCGCCGCCGUCUUUAGUUUAGUUGAUGGUGAUUUUUUUUUUUUUUUUUUAAUCACAGAAAACACAGACAAGGUGGCAGAGAAACUGGAGGAGCUCUCGGUAAAGGACAAGACCUCAGAAGAGAAGAAGAAGGAGGAGAAGAAAGGAGAAGAAGGCAAAGAAGUGACGGCCGAGGAGAAGAAUUGAGAACCGAAGCGCUGGCUUUGCUGAUCUUCACUUUCUCCCAGUUCCUCCUUUUUUCUACAAUAGACUGUAAAUGAACUGAA